AUAAAAAGCAAUUUGUUACAUAACCUACUUUAUUAUUUGACACUGUAUGCCUUCAGCCAAAUUCCUUGAGUGUGUUUACAUGUAUGGCCAUUACAGCAUUUUCUUAUCUCUCCUCACUCUUUUUUUAUCCCAGUCUUCCUCUUGCCAACAGGCAUCAUGAAGCUUUUUUUGUCCGCCCCUUAGCUGUGUGCUGCUUCUAAAUAUGACAUCUCCUCUCCCUGCAGCUGAUUCUGCUCAAACGAAAGCUGUUCCCCAGACGCCGAGUGAACACGGACAGCAACCCCGAGCGAGUGUGAAGGAAGGGGGGAAAAAAAACCCUCUCUUCGCUCCUUACUGCGCUUCCACCUCCCCAACCCUUUUCUCUCCUGAUCAGUCGAGAAUCCUGGAGGAGGAUUCGGACCAGGGGGACUGGGUGGAAACGGGAAUCUGAAGCCCUACCCCCCCCCCUCCUCCCCUCUCAGGUGUUGGUGUUGCAUCAGCACAGAUGGAGGAUACAGACUCAAGAGAGAUGGUGAUGAAACUUUUUUUUAUUUUAUUUUUUUCCCUGAAGAUGAUGGAUGUGGCUGUCCGCUGAAAGGAAUGAAAGCCAGAAAGAAGAAGCCUGUAAAUCUUCUUUUUCUUCUCCUCCGCCGGGGACUUUUGUACGACCGCCACACUUAACCAGUAGAAAAACAAACACUCCCUCACACUGCACCACCCGCCUCGUGUCCUGCCCUCACCAGGCCUGCUGAUUGAUGUGCUGUUAAAGUGUGAAACAUUUGACAGCAGCGGGUCAGGACUCCUAAUGUGUGUGUGUGUGUGUCUGUGUGUGUGUGUGUGUUAGUGUUCAACAAGCCUGGAGAAAGUUUAACAAACGCUCGUUUAAAACUCAAACGAUGAACAGAUUGAUCAAGUUGAGGAUUGACAGAAACACCUGGAACUUUACUGAAAAUGAACCAGUAGUUUGUAGUUACUUUACAAGGGAAGAAUGCCAACGUCAGCUGCUCCCCUACGGAAGCCCGAAGGAGACAAGCAUCCAUGCUUUUUAUUUACUCCAUUGUCCUGUCAAUAUAAGUCAUUACUUCUUGUUUUCUCGACGUGUUUAUCUCUCAUGAGGGAAGUUGAAAAAGGCACUAUACAAACAGAAAUCGUUAUCUGGCCAAUCACAGGGAUCGAUCAAGUUUUGUUUAUUAGAUUGCCAGAAAAGUAUCCCCUCAUCUCGAGAAGACAAGCUUUUUUUUUAUCCUGAAAUAAUGAGAUGAACUCGUUCUUUAUAAUGGGGGAAAAGAAGCUCUGUUAUCCGGCUCUGGAGGAAACAACCAGAAGUUACAAAAUCACAGGAAUGUGAGUCAAUAAAACGUAGUGAUGUGUGUCCACUCAGGGCUGCCGAAGGUAACAUCUUGAUUAUAAUAAUUUUCUUUAGCUUUUCUCUGUUUUAUAUCGUUAAGAUUUUGAUUAUUAUUAUUUUUUUUUUCAGAUGGUCUGUUGAAAAAGACUUUGGAAACUUUGGUUGCGCGGAAACUGUGAUGAGAAUUUUUCUGACUUUUACUGACAAAACGGUACUUUGAGUCGACAAAGAAAUUGGUACUCACAGCCCCUCCCACUUUUUGUUGUUGUCUUUUACUCCGCUUGCUUUAUUUUAAAGGACAAAGGAGGAAAUAAUUCAUAUAGGACAAAUCUGAUAUUUACAAAAGCUGUUGUAUCUUUCUCUGUUGUCGUCAAAACAUGAGAACUUGAAGUGCCUUCGUUCUUCAUUCCUGCUCGUUGGAUUGUUUUUCUUUAUCUCCUUUUUUCUUUGUCUGCCAAACUUUUCUUUUGAUAAAAAAUAAUCAUGAACGGGAAAUGGGGAUACUCAACGAUCGUUGUCAAUGUGGUACUGAUGUAACUGAUUGUUGGCGCUGCAUGUACGUGAUGCUCCAGCUCUCACAGCCACCUGUACGUGUGUCCCUGUGGGACUCAACAGGCUCGCUACUGUCUGAAAUUCAGACGCCCUCAGCAUGUUGUGUAACUUAUUCUCAUUGUGUUAAUCUCGACGGUGAGCCUGGUGACUGAUGCGUCCGAAGAUGAACGCUCCAGAAUGUAAACACAGCCUGUGUUGCAUCUUCAAACAUCUCUUCUCUUGAACAGUUUCACACAGUUCUUUUGAUAUAAUGAUAAAAACAGAAGAGACCCGCCGCUCCGUGUGGUCACAACGUGGACACAGUGAACUCAGCAGGCGACCCGAUAAAGACUCACAUAUCUGUAAUCCCUCCGAAUGCAUCAGUUCAACGGCUCCUCACUGAAAUAAAAUGUGAUUGGGUUCAGUAAUUUUGUUCUCUGUCAUUUUGUUCAUGUAGAUCAGAUCUCUCUCUCUCCCACGGUGCAGCAGGUUGGCAGAGACGGACCGUCUUAAAAAGCAAGAUCAGAUCUGAACGGAGGCGGAGGAGAGGAAUCCUUGAACGCACCACCAGCUUGUUGGAGAUCUUGGAGAUGACCAUGCCAAAGGCGAGCAGGUACAGGCAGGGGUGGUGCUCGAACAGGUGGCUGGAGGACUUCUUGAAAAUGAUGAAGGCCAGGGUGAGGAUGAGGCCGAUGUGCAGACCAGGACUCAACACGCUGGUGUCCUACGCAGAGAGGAUGUCAGUGAGCAUGCUUUAUUACACGAUACUCACCGUAAAGCUGAUUCAACACAGCCAUCCUCAGACGUGAGUGAACUUACUGCCACAGUGGAGCCGUUUUUACCGACGCCGCCGUUCAGGAUCACAUGGAAGUAGUUGUAGCAGGAGAAGAGCGCCCCUCCAAUGAUGCCCAUGAUGGGGAAGGCGUACAUCUUCAGUCCAAUGAGGGGCAACUACAGAAACACGGGAAGGUCAAAUUUAGUGAUGAGGCGCGCAGCACUCCCCCUCGUGGAGAAGUUGAUAGAAACAGUGAAGCUGCAGGCAUGCCGAGCGUGAUGGGAGGGCAAAGCAUAAAAAAAAAAAAAAGAAAUGUGCAUGACAUCAGCUUUUUGAGCCAGAUCAUGUCCAAUAGAUGACCUGUUGCCAUGGCGUUAGCUAUCCAUAUUUACCUUCUAUCUUCUCUCAUGUGAUGUUAAGUGAAGCCUCCAAAGGCAGCACAGAGUCAAAGUAAAACACAAAGUCUAUUUAAAGACUACAAGGACGACUAAAAAGGGACGAGCUAAUUAGGUGUCAAAAAAAUGAAUAAAAUAGGGGGAAUAUACACUCGAGGUGAAAUGAGAGGUUUUCUGUGUUGGUUUGGUGUCUUUUUAAAUAUUCAGUGGUCAGUUACCGUCGUUUGCCAGAGGCUAACGCCCCCGAAAGCCGUCAUCAUAUACAUGAUCAUGAUGGCCAACUGCACCUCUGUCACGUCAAUCCUGAGAGAACGAGCAGAGCAAAGAGUGAGAUGAUCCUUAAAGUAAUGAACAUUAACAUCAUCAGUGUUACAACCCGGAAUUCCUAAAAAGCUGGGACGUUGUUUAAAACAUUUAAACCCUUCCCCUUCCCUUUUAAAGAUUUUUUUUUUUUUUUUUUGGCCUUUGAGA